rnacentral:rRNA from 1 species
GUGGGGAAUAUUGGACAAUGGGCGCAAGCCUGAUCCAGCCAUGCCGCGUGCAGGAAGACGCAUCUAUGGUGUGUAAACUGCUUUUGUACGGGAAGAAACACUCCCUCGUGAGGGAGCUUGACGGUACCGUAAGAAUAAGGAUCGGCUAACUCCGUGCCAGCAGCCGCGGUAAUACGGAGGAUCCAAGCGUUAUCCGGAAUCAUUGGGUUUAAAGGGUCCGUAGGCGGUUUAAUAAGUCAGUGGUGAAAGCCCAUCGCUCAACGAUGGAACGGCCAUUGAUACUGUUAGACUUGAAUUACAAGGAAGUAACUAGAAUAUGUAGUGUAGCGGUGAAAUGCUUAGAUAUUACAUGGAAUACCAAUUGCGAAGGCAGGUGACUACUUGUGGAUUGACGCUGAUGGACGAAAGCGUGGGGAGCGAACAGGAUUAGAUACCCCGGUAGUCC